rnacentral:misc_RNA from 1 species
ACCUUUUUAUGUUAAACAAAAUGAAAAUUUCUUUAAAUUAUACGAAAUAAUUCAUUCUCAGACCUGCUGCUGCUUGGAACAUUGUUGCGUGACUGAAUCGACUGCUGCCGAUAUAUCUGCGCAGCUGAGACAGCCCCGGCAAUGUUCCAAAAACCCCAAAGUCUAUUUUAGGUUGUACAUAACCCUCCCUCCCACCUCGUUCGUUUUGUUUUACAGGCCAACAACAGACGACGACGGCGUCAAAGUCUAAUUAUCAAAGUCAGCUGUUUUUCUACAAAAUAUAAAGUUAUCGAUCCUGGAAAAGAAGGUGAUAUCGUGUACACGGCAUUCGUAUAAAAGGGCGGGAAAAUUUAUGAUUUGAAACAACUUUUGAACUGGAAUAGGCCAUCACACAAACAAGUCGGUUAAACACGCAACAAUGUUAUAUUGGCGCGA